AUUGAACGCUGGCGGCAGGCCUAACACAUGCAAGUCGAGCGGAUGAAGGGAGCUUGCUCCUGGAUUCAGCGGCGGACGGGUGAGUAAUGCCUAGGAAUCUGCCUGGUAGUGGGGGAUAACGUCCGGAAACGGGCGCUAAUAACGCAUACGUCCUGAGGGAGAAAGUGGGGGAUCUUCGGACAUCACGCUAUCAGAUGAGCCUAGGUCGGAUUAGCUAGUUGGUGGGGUAAAGGCCUACCAAGGCGACGAUCCGUAACUGGUCUGAGAGGCUGAUCAGUCACACUGGAACUGAGACAUGGUCCUGACUCCUACGGGAGGGAGCAGUGGGGAAUAUUGGACAGUAGGCGAAAGCCUGAUCCAGCCAUGCCGCGUGUGUUAAGAAGGUCUUCGGAUUGUAAAGCACUUUAAGUUGGGAGGAAGGGCAGUAAGUUAAUACCUUGCUGUUUUGACGUUACCAACAGAAUAAGCACCGGCUAACUUCGUG
rnacentral:rRNA from 1 species